rnacentral:rRNA from 1 species
UGAGGAUAUUGGUCAAUGGACGAGAGUCUGAACCAGCCAAGUAGCGUGCAGGAUGACGGCCCUCCGGGUUGUAAACUGCUUUUAGUUGGGAAUAAAAAAGAUGACGUGUCAUCUAUUGUAUGUACCAUCAGAAAAAGGACCGGCUAAUUCCGUGCCAGCAGCCGCGGUAAUACGGAAGGUCCAGGCGUUAUCCGGAUUUAUUGGGUUUAAAGGGAGCGCAGGCCGCCGGGCAAGCGUGUUGUGAAAUGCAGUCGCUCAACGUCUGCACUGCAGCGCGAACUGCCCAGCUUGAGUGCGCGCAACGUUGGCGGAAUUCGCCGUGUAGCGGUGAAAUGCUUAGAUAUGGCGAAGAACUCCGAUUGCGAAGGCAGCUGACGGGUGCGUAAC